AGUAGGGAAUAUUGGACAAUGGUUGAGAGACUGAUCCAGCCAUGCCGCGUGCAGGAAGAAGGCCUUCUGGGUCGUAAACUGCUUUUCCCCGGGGAUAAAAAGGCCAUGCGUGGCAGAUUGAAGGUACCGGGGGAAUAAGCCACGGCUAACUACGUGCCAGCAGCCGCGGUAAUACGUAGGUGGCAAGCGUUGUCCGGAUUUAUUGGGUUUAAAGGGUGCGUAGGCGGCCCUGUAAGUCAGUGGUGAAAUACGGCAGCUCAACUGUCGAGGUGCCAUUGAUACUGCGGGGCUUGAGUACCGGUGAGGCAGGCGGAAUUGACGGUGUAGCGGUGAAAUGCUUAGAUAUCGUCAAGAACACCGAUAGCGAAGGCAGCUUGCUAAUGGGUAACUGACGCUCAGGCACGAAAGUGCGGGGAUCAAACAGGAUUAGAUACCCUGGUAGUCCGCACAGUAAACGAUGAUCACUCGGUGUUGGCGAUAUACGGCCAGCGCCUUAGCGAAAGCGAUAAGUGAUCCACCUGGGGAGUACGCCCGCAAGGGUGAAACUCAAGGAAUUGAC
rnacentral:rRNA from 1 species